ACCAGACUCCUACGGGAGGCAGCAGUCGGGAAUAUUGCGCAAUGGCGGAAACUCUGACGCAGUGACGCCGCGUAUAGGAAGAAGUUUUUCGGAAUGUAAACUAUUGUCGUUAGGGAAGAGAAAGGACAGUACCUAAGGAGGAAGCUCCGGCUAACUACGUGCCAGCAGCCGCGGUAAUACGUAGGGAGCAAGCGUUGUCCGGAAUUACUGGGUGUAAAGGGAGCGUAGGCGGGAUGGCAAGUUGGGUGUUAAAUCUACCGGCUCAACUGGUAGUCGCACUCAAAACUGCUAUUCUUGAGUGAAGUAGAGGCAGGCGGAAUUCCUAGUGUAGCGGUGAAAUGCGUAGAUAUUAGGAGGAACACCAGUGGCGAAGGCGGCCUGCUGGGCUUUUACUGACGCUGAGGCUCGAAAGUGUGGGGAGCAAACAGGAUUAGAUACCCGUG
rnacentral:rRNA from 1 species